rnacentral:lncRNA from 1 species
CCUCUUGCCCCCCGUCUCUAUUAUGGAGUUCCAAGCAUGACCGUUUGCCAGGAAAAUAUGGAGUAUGCUGUGGUAGUAGCUCACGUCAACAAAUCAUCAGUCAAUCCUGUAGUAACUCGGCCUGCUUACCUGGAUCUUAGUAGCUAGCUGCACCUAGGUAGUAGUAGUAACAAACAUUGUUCUUGGCCUAUCCUAUGAC